UCGGGUGCGGAUGCGUGGGAGGAAAGGGGCAGGGGCAGGAACUGGUGGAAGAGCUGACAGCAAGGGGAGUGGCCAAACGGAGGCGGGGCCUGGAAGGGGGCGUGGCUUGCGGGCCUCUGGGCCGCCCGGCCUCUUUAGGUGCCGCAGCGGAAGGCCUGGAGCAGAGGCUGCUUCUCCGCCCAAGCACUCCCUGGCGAGCCCAGGCCCUCCCGAGGAGCAGAGAAUGGAAGGAAACCAAGUUUUGUCCUGCGAGUCCUCGCCCUCUGCAGGAAGAGGAUGUGGUGAGGCCAGCUUUUCCAUAUGCAGUUAGGCAUCGAAGGGAAGAUCUGCUGUACCUAAGUGGGGUGGGCAUUUCAUUUUUAGGGACCGUCUUUGUUAAAAUAGUAAGUGGAAUAGAUAGAGCCAAAGCCACUUCUUAAAAAUACACAGAAAGUAUUUAGAUGAUGUUAAUUAAUAAGGCCCUCCAGCGAAAGGGGUGCUGAGCUGGGAACUGAGAUAGUCCUUCCUCUAUCACUGCGGUCCUCUGUCAUCUCGAAUGAGUCAGUUAACUUUCUGGGCUUCCUUCAUUCUGUCACCCAUAAAAGGAAUGCUCCCCAAGACUUCCGUCCUGCAAGUCUAUAAAGGGCAGUCUGGUGAAGUUUCACAGCUUCAGCUCCGGUAUCGUUAAUCACAGGAUCGUGGCUGCAAACCUCCCAGCCCUUCAGCACCAAACAGGUGUUAAAGCAAAGAGAAUGAAGGCAAGAUCCUCGGGAUUCUCUGGGAAAGGAGGCAAGCUGCUCUGUGUUCUGGCGCUCGCAGUCCGCAGGGAGACUGGUGAAGCCCACAUUUUCUUUCCAAGCCCUCAGGGUCCAAGAGACUGGAUACUAGAUGUGUAGUGGCUGGGUAUCUGGGCAGAGAGAGAAGUCUAUCGUUCUGAGGAGCAGGAAGGACUGGGAAGAGGGUACCCAGUGUACAAGAGCCAGACUGAUGUGGUUGGAGGAUGGGGGGCAAUGUCAGGGUAGGAAACACUUUUACAUUUCCGGGGAAUAAACAACUAUUCUGGCGCCA
rnacentral:lncRNA from 1 species